GAAUUUUCUAUUUUAUGUCUGUAUUUUUCAUGACGCACAUUAUCUAUGAUUUAUUUGGACAUGUGUCAUACAUCGUAUUUUUGUGUGUAAUGUAACGUAUGUACAUAUCGCACUUGAAAAGGACCAAAACCUACUGUCGAAACGUAGUGCCUUAAUUUAAUUCAAUUAAAUCUGACCAGUUAGAUCAAAAUUAAAUUUAUUCUUGAGUUUUUUUAUUCUCUUACUGGCGAAGUAAAGAUCACGUUAGAUUAUUAUAUUGUUUAUCUUGUGUGAUAUUUUAGAUGUUAUUUGGUAUGCAGAUUGUAUCUUUCGUAAGACUAAUAUUUAUGCAUAGAAGUAUUCUUAGAACGUAAUAAGGAAAAUAUUCAAUAGAAAACGUAUUCUUUUUUCUUUAUAAAUAAAUUAUCUUCAUUACACACGGGAGCAUUGCAUAGUGAACAUAGCUGGAAAAAUAUUGAGAAAUGUUUGUAAUUUAAGCGCUAAAUUAUUUAGGUUUAAUGAAAAAUAACAAAUGAUAGGAAUGAUUGUUCUUUAUUACAAUAAAUUUUUACGAUAUAUAAUGAUACAAUAAAGAUCUAUAAGUUCUAUGUCCACAACCGAAUGGCAAAUGCAACUCUUCGUAAAUUACAUAACGUUUGAUUACACUGUACAAUUUCUAAUUAACAUGAUCAGUUGCAGUUCAAUUUACAUAUAGAAGACCAAAUCUGCGAGAAUGAGGAAAAUGAAGACAUUUUCUUGGUCCACUCAAGGAAAAUCAUAUGUGUUUCCUCGUACGGCGAGUAACGCGUCGCGUAAAUGAUAUAUUACAAAGAGAAUUUGUUAUAUUAAUAAUUAGUAACACUUAACACAAUGUACACGAUACGUAUUGGCUACAUUAUUACGUGUAAGAUACUGUACGGUAUGCAGCGAGAUUGAAAAUCAGUGCGGAUUUCUUUGUUUCUCGCAAGCAUUUUUUUUUACAAAUGCUCUCACUUUUAUUUCGAUUGUGAAUAUAAUAAAGAAAAUAUGUAAAUA